GGAGAGCACCUGCCUUACAAGCAGGGGGUCACAGGUUCGAUCCCUGUAACGUCCA
rfam:Weissella halotolerans DSM 20190 Scaffold1, whole genome shotgun sequence.